GGCACCAUGUUGUAGUUGUUAUCAAUUCUGCCUAACACGCAGAAGGUCCCCAGUUCGAGCCUGGGUGGUGUCA
rnacentral:tRNA from 1 species